UUGGUGUCUUUUUGGAUCAGGCUCUGGUAGUUCAUGUCCUCUUCUCGCCCUUCAAAAGUUUUGUUGUCUACUCCCUCCGUUCCUAAAUAAUUGUUUUUCUAGAGAUUUUAACAAGUGAGUACAUACGGAGCAAAAUGAAUGAAUCUACACUCUAAAACAUGUCUACAUACAUCCGUAUGUUGUAGUCCAUUUGAGGUGGCUAGAAAGACAAUUAUUUGGGAACGGAGGGAGUAAUUUUUAGCCCGGCCUCUGUUAGUUCAUGUUUUUUCUUUUUUCUUUCUUUACAGGUCCGGAGGUCCCUACGCCUUCAAAGUAUCUCCUGUCACAUGCUCACUCAAAUGAUUGUCCAUGGAGCCAGCAAGCGAAGAACUGGAGGAAGGCGAGGGUCACUUAGCUAGCCGCACCGGUUCCUAUUAUAUCCCCCCUGUCUUCUUCGUCUCUUGCUCUCUCUCUUUCCAGGAUGGUGGAGGGUGGACUGAGGGUGACAUUGAUUAUGUGGGUUUAGAUAUGCUAAAUUUAUUGAUUAGGAUCACAAAAGGUUUGUAAAUUUCCUUUAAUGUUUGGAUAAAAUUUCUUUUAAUGUAUUUGUUCUUUCCUUUUGUCUGGACAUAUGUUGAUUAAUUAAGAGGAAUGACAAGAAUAAUAUUCCGUCCAGAUUUUAGUGUGUGUGAUUUUGACUAAACUCACAACUACUGAACUUGGUUUCUUCAAAUACCUGUGUGAUUUUGGGAAAACCAUUCAUACUUUGGCCAUACAUGUUCCCUAUUGUAUUGCUUUAAUAUUUUAAACAUUCUUUGUUUCUAGGGAGGUGUGAAAUCAAUCAAAGUGACAACACAAUGUUUUCCGGAGAAUGAUUGUUUUGUUUAGUAAGUGUAACAUAUUAUAAUAUCAAUG
rnacentral:lncRNA from 1 species